CAAAACCUAUAAAUUGGUACCACUCUGAUGAGACUCCAAUGAUCACAUGAUUCAUGUAUAUGAUUCAUAUACAACUGGCACCAAUUAGUUAAUGGACAUAAUGGGCCAAGGUAAAGGACUCCGUCUGGUUGCAGUCUGCUUCAUUGUGCUGAUCAGUCAAGUUGACUGGACUUGGGGACAGAAUGCAAUGGAUAAGCAUUUCACAAUUUACGGGGAGUUGUGCAGUGACUACUGUGAUACACAUGGAUACAGCUACAGCUGGUGCAAAACCAGUACAAACUGGGAUUACUGCUCAAAAACAGAGAACACAGAUUAUUACGACAACCCAUGUCUGGAUGACCAUCCCUGCGGAAUUUAUGGCGGAAUUUAUGGUUACUCUUACUACUGGUGCUACACGGAGGAUGGUAGCUGGGGUUACUGUGGAAAAGUAGAGUAUCAGUGACACAUAUGAGACAUAUGGAUUCUUAAAUUGGAAUUCCAGCGACUCCUUAUUUGGUAAAUAAUCUGUAGAUUUAAAGCCGAUCAUUUAUAUAAUUAAUGAAUCAUUUUUCUUUGUUUUUAGUUUGUGUCCAUUCUUGGUUCCAAAGAGCAAGUGUGGCUGCCAGUUUUCGUACUAGCUCAUGCUAAUGUAAGAAAACCUGUAGCUCCACUAGUCUUUUGUAGGCAAGACUGGACAUGUCUGUUUAAGAUUUUCUUUGACUAACUAAUUGAAUCCUUUCCAUUAAGAAAAUAAAUGACAGCACUGAGAUUUUUUGUAAUUCAAAUAUCUAUCCUACGUUGGUCAGCAAUCAUUGUACAAACUUAACAAAUAAACAGUAGAAGGCAAAAAAGAAAAACUAAAAUAAACCACAACUUGGCGAUAAAAUAAACAGACCUGCAUUAUACUUUUAAAUGUGUGUCGAUAGAAUAGGAAUUCAGAAGUACAGACCUUACAGUCAUGACAAACUACUGGGAUUGCAUUAAAUGGAACAGUACACAUACACGUACACGCACACGCACACGCACACGCACACGCACACACACACACACACACAACAAAUAAUGUUCAAUAUGUGCAUAAUGCAUUAAUUGUAAAUUAUAAUUGGAUCAGCUAUUGUACCUAAUACAAACUGUAGUAGACAUUUUGUGUACUUAUUUUGUAUCGCCCUAACAUACCUUCAUAUGAUGCCGUUUCAGUCAUUGGUGACAUCUAUGUAUUACACAAUGCAUGUGUUAGCUUGAUCAACAUUUCAAAAUUAUUUUAUAUUAGGACAUUCCUAUUUAGCAUGUACAACACAUGUAUCAUUUUGUUAGCAGCUUUUCCAACAUUUACUAUUCCUGCUUAGACCCAUUCUUAUGUAACUUAACAGGGGUGAUAAUGUAUCCAUGAUGUACUAUGUUGUACCUGAUAAAAUCGACCUUUGCUUCCCGUAUGAGUCAUACAACCUGUCUCUGUAUCUUGUCUUUUAAUUACACAAUAAAGAUCUACAUGAGUUAAUAAAUACAUUCUAAAAGCAAUAAAUAAAUUAUAAAGCA